rnacentral:rRNA from 1 species
UACAGAGGUCUCAAGCGUUGUUCGGAUUCAUUGGGCGUAAAGGGUGCGUAGGCGGCGCGGUAAGUCGGGUGUGAAAUCUCGGGGCUUAACUCCGAAACUGCAUUCGAUACUACCGUGCUUGAGGACUGGAGAGGAGACUGGAAUUUACGGUGUAGCGGUGAAAUGCGUAGAUAUCGUAAGGAAGACCAGUGGCGAAGGCGGGUCUCUGGACAGUUCCUGACGCUGAGGCGCGAAGGCCAGGGGAGCAAACGGG